AUUGUGUUUUUUGGUUUUUUUGGUUUUUAGGGAGUUUUUUUUUUUUAUUUGGCUUCCCUGCCUGUGGCCGAGGAUUGGAAUGUGCUAAUUUCGAGAUGAUUUGUUGGCUACAGUUCGGGCUCUGGUGGUCCCGUUUCGAGACUCUCAAUGCUCACCACUCCUCCUAUUCUUUCUCCCUGUCUCCCGUUGCUUUUUUUCCCCUUCCCCUCGGUCCUCCUUUUAUUUGUGACUGGCGAUGAAGCACUAGGUGCGAUCUUACCUCUCUUUCCUUCCCAUGCGCCCUCCUCGAGGCCGCGUGAGCUCUCCUCCUGCAUCAGAUGCCGCAAUGCAGCAGCUCCUUCCACUGACGUUUUUUCGUUUGAAACAACGCCAUCGCUAAAACACGAUGUCGACACAAGAGUGCUGUUUAUUUUUUUGAAUGAUAACAAAAACAGAAAAGAAGCGUGGCCAUUGAGAAACAUGAUUCUGUGGUUCCACAACAAACAGAAACUGCCAACCUGACGAAUUCCUACACGCACGUGUAGGCUCAUGAUUGGAGACUCUACUUUUGCUUCAGCACGAUCAUGCACGGUUUGAAAAAGUCUCACACCUGGAAUUAUUCUUCGAAAAGGCUUUAAACUUAUGGAUCUAAGAACACAAAUAAUAAUAAUAAUAAUAAUAAUAAUACUGUUUUAUUUCAUCCUGUCACCUCCGUUUCCAUUUCAAAAAAUAAAGUUAAAAUAAAACGGCUGUAUCUCAGCUGCUGAGUUUCCAUCCCUCACCAGUGGUUACAAGAAUGGGAUACAAAAAUACAAAACAAAAGGGCAGAUUUGUUCAUGACAUGGAUUGCAUUUUGAGAUCUUGGCAUUGCUUCUGCAUGGUUCAUUAAGAGGGUUUGUUAAAGAAAUAUGAAAAAUGAGUAAACAUAACAUGACCCUUCAUUGUUUUAAUCUUAUAUCAUUUUUUCUUUUUUGAGGGCAUCAUUCUCCUUGAUCACAGACACAUUAAGCAAGGAAAAAAAUUGAAAUGUACAUUUCAUACUAUUCAUUAUUAAUAUAGAAAUGACUCAGAAUAUGCAAUGCA